CGAGGCUUACGCCAUUUUACCCCAGCGAGCAUUCAUACAGCAGCGAGCAUUCAUACAGCGGCUGUAUCUUGGUUCCGCAGAAUCAGUUGCUGUCCCUCCACGGUUGAGCUCCAAUCACCUUUCCUGCCUCUCUGGGCAAGGGAAAGGCCUGCAAGCUUAUUAUUGGUGCUCUGAGCUUCGGGGAACACAGCUUCCAGGACACAGAGAAUCUUGGCUCUUUAACAUCUUCGCAGCUAUUCUUUCAAAAACACCGGGCUGCUGAGGACUGGGAGACUCUGAAGGCUUGGGAUCCUUCUACUUGGCUCCCUCUGUCUGUGCUGGCUUAUCGACCUGCGUUCCGGGGCAGAGUAAGGACCUCUGAACAUCAUCUCCUUUUCUGCCUGAUACAGCUGACAGGCAGCCUGCAUUUCCUUCAGAGAGAUUUCCCCCCCAGAGUCAAUGCCACAAAUUUGAGAAGAAGGAACUACCUAGUUAAGUAAAACCCAAGGAACCAGGAGGUCUCUGAACCUCACUUCAGUCUUGGAAUUUGAUGAGUUUUGCUCCCUCCCUUGCAUUUAAGUACUAUGUCCAUACUGAGUGCCUGAAGGUACUGGGUAUGAACAGUUUCCAUAGUUGAGGUCUUGAACUGAGAUGGCCAGUGCCCCAGGCUAGCCCACAGCUCCUGUAAAGGGGACUCCAAUGUAGCAUCAUUGACUUUAAAGUUUCCCAGAGGCCUGAGCAUUGUCCUUUUGCACUUUGGUGUGAGAUGUGAUUUCUGUCCUCUUUCCAUGUGCUGUGUGAACCUGGCAUGCUGGCUUAGGACAUGGCCUGAUUCAGGGGGUGCUGAAUGGGUGGGGCUGAAAGGGAAAGAAUAAUAGAGACCACAUAACAGUGUAUGGAACAGGGUGGGGCUGCAGCAUCUAACUCUCUCUCUCUUCUUU
rnacentral:lncRNA from 1 species